rnacentral:rRNA from 1 species
UACGAAGGGGGCUAGCGUUGCUCGGAAUCACUGGGCGUAAAGGGUGCGUAGGCGGGUCUUUAAGCCAGGGGUGAAAUCCCAGGGCUCAACCCUGGAACUGCCUUUGAUACUGACGAUCUGGAGAUCGGGAGAGGUUGGUGGAAUUCCGAGUGUAGAGGUGAAAUUCGUAGAUAUUCGGAGGAACACCAGAAGCGAAGGCGGCCAACUGGCCCGAUACUGACGCUGAGGCGCGAAAGCGUGGGGAGCAAACAGG